rnacentral:rRNA from 1 species
UACGGAGGAUCCGAGCGUUAUCCGGAUUUAUUGGGUUUAAAGGGUGCGCAGGCGGGGGAUUAAGUCGGCGGUGAAAUUUUGCAGCUCAACUGUAAAAGUGCCUUCGAAACUGGUUUCCUUGAGUGUAGAUGAAGCAGGCGGAGUUUGUGGUGUAGCGGUGAAAUGCAUAGAUAUCACGAGGAACUCCGAUUGCGCAGGCAGCUUACUAAACUACUACUGACGCUCAGGCACGAAGGCGUGGGGAUCAAACAGGAUUAGAUACCCCGGUAGUCCCU